CUGCUGCCUUCCGUAGGAGUCUGGUCCGUGUCUCAGUACCAGUGUGGGGGACCUUCCUCUCAGAACCCCUAUCCAUCGUGGACUUGGUGAGCCGUUACCUCACCAACUAUCUAAUGGAACGCAUGCCCAUCUAUCAGCGAUAAUUCUUUAACAAAUAUUUCCAUGUGGAACCCCUGUUUUAUGCGGUAUUAGUCCGACUUUCGCCGGGUUAUUCCCCUCUGAUAGGUAGGUUGCAUACGCGUUACUCACCCGUGCGCCGGUCG
rnacentral:rRNA from 1 species